GUGAAUCAUCGAAUCUUUGAACGCACAUUGCGCCCUCUGGUAUUCCGGGGGGCACGCCUGCUCGAGCGUCAUUUCAACCUUCAAGCACCGCUUGGUAUUGGCGCCGGUCUAGCGACCGGCCCGCAACCCUCUGGUGGCUCGUCCGGCCCUUAGGCGUAGUAAAUCGUCGUCUAGGGGGCCGCGGCGGCGCCCGCCAUGGAAACAAUCAGUAGUUUGACCUCGGAUCAGGCGGGGAUACCCGCUGAACUUAAGCAUAUCAAUAAGCGGAGGA
rnacentral:misc_RNA from 1 species